rfam:Triticum aestivum genome assembly, contig: Triticum_aestivum_CS42_TGACv1_scaffold_130283_2BL
AAAAUACUUCAUCCUUCCCAAAAUUCUUGUCUUAGAUUUAUGUAGAUACGGAUGUACUAACACUGAAACGUGAAUAGAUACAUCUGUAUGUAGACAAAUCUAAGGCAAGAAUUUUGGGACGGAGGGAGUAUUAC